rnacentral:rRNA from 1 species
UACAGAGGGUGCGAGCGUUGUCCGGAAUCAGCUGGGCGUAAAGGGCGCGUAGGCGGCCUGAUAAGUAGGGGGUGAAAUCCUGUGGCUUAACUGCAGGGCUGCCUCCUAGACUGUUAGGCUCGAGCACGGUAGAGGCAGAUGGAAUUCCCGGUGUAGCGGUGGAAUGCGUAGAGAUCGGGAAGAACAUCGGUGGCGAAGGCGGUCUGCUGGGCCGUUGCUGACGCUGAGGCGCGACAGCGUGGGGAGCAAACAGG